rnacentral:rRNA from 1 species
AACGAACGCUGGCGGCAUGCCUAACACAUGCAAGUCGAACGAGACCUUCGGGUCUAGUGGCGCACGGGUGCGUAACGCGUGGGAACCUGCCCUUAGGUUCGGAAUAACUCCCCGAAAGGGGUGCUAAUACCGGAUAAUGUCUUCGGACCAAAGAUUUAUCGCCUUUGGAUGGGCCCGCGUUGGAUUAGCUAGUUGGUAGGGUAAAAGCCUACCAAGGCGACGAUCCAUGGCUGGUCUGAGAGGAUGAUCAGCCACACUGGGACUGAGACACGGCCCAGACUCCUACGGGAGGCAGCAGUGGGGAAUAUUGGACAAUGGGCGAAAGCCUGAUCCAGCAAUGCCGCGUGAGUGAUGAAGGCCUUAGGGUUGUAAAGCUCUUUUACCCGGGAUGAUAAUGACAGUACCGGGAGAAUAAGCUCCGGCUAACUCCGUG